rnacentral:rRNA from 1 species
UACGUAGGCAGCAAGCGUUGUUCGGAGUUACUGGGCGUAAAGGGUGUGUAGGCGGUUCCUUAAGUUUGCUGUGAAAUCUCCCGGCUUAACCGGGAGGGUGCGGUGAAUACUGAGGGACUAGAGUACGGGAGAGGAAAGUGGAAUUCCUGGUGUAGCGGUGAAAUGCGUAGAUAUUGGGAAGAACACCGGUGGCGAAGGCGGCUAUCUGGACCGACAUUGACGCUGAGGCGCGAAAGCGUGGGGAGCAAACAGG